rnacentral:rRNA from 1 species
GCUUACCAAGGNCGAUGAUGCAUAGCCGAGUUGAGAGACUGAUCGGCCACAUUGGGANCUGAGACACGGCNCCAAACUCCUACGGGAGGCAGCAGUAGGGAAUCUUCCACAAUGGACGCAAGUCUGAUGGAGCAACGCCGCGUGAGUGAAGAAGGUUUUCGGAUCGUAA